rnacentral:tRNA from 1 species
GCAAUUUUAGUUUAAGUAAAAUAGUGUCUUGUCUUGUCACAGAUGGCCUUUGGCUGAGUUGCUC